GUCUAUGGCCAUACUACUCUGAACGUGCCUGAACUCAGAAGCUAAGCAGGGUUGGGCCUGGUUAACACUUGGAUGGGAGACUGCAGUGUGCUCAUCUCUAAAUAGGAU
rnacentral:rRNA from 1 species